rfam:Salmo salar isolate Sally breed double haploid chromosome ssa27, whole genome shotgun sequence.
AGCACUCUCUACUGUAAGUCACUCUGGAUAAGAGCGUCUGCUAAAGGACUAAAA